rnacentral:siRNA from 1 species
CAAAUGGUUUUCAAACAGAUGG